UAAUCUCUACGGAGAAAAGCAGGGGAUCGCAAGGCCUUGCGCUCUUGGAGCGGCCGAUGCCUGAUUAGCUAGUUGGUGAGGUAAAGGCUUACCAAGGCGACGAUCAGUAGCUGGUCUGAGAGGACGACCAGCCACACUGGGACUGAGACACGGCCCAGACUCCUACGGGAGGCAGCAGUGGGGAAUUUUGGACAAUGGGGGAAACCCUGAUCCAGCCAUGCCGCGUGAGUGAAGAAGGCCUUCGGGUUGUAAAGCUCUUUCAGCCGGAACGAAACGGUCACGGCUAAUACCUGUGACUACUGACGGUACCGGAAGAAGAAG
rnacentral:rRNA from 1 species